GGCCCUAAAUCUCGAUGUUUACCAAACACAAACAUCCGCCCGAGAACUACGAGCACAAACGCUUAAAACUCUAAGGACUUGGCGGUGCCCUAAACCCACCUAGAGGAGCCUGUUCUAUAAUCGAUAACCCACGAUCCACCCGACCACUUCUCGCCAAUAACAGCCUACAUACCGCCGUCGCCAGCCCACCUCCCUGAGAGCACAACAGUGAGCCCAACAGCCCACAGCCCGCUAACAAGACAGGUCAAGGUAUAGCCAAUGAAGUGGAAGAAAUGGGCUACAUUUUCUAAAAUAGAAAAUCCAACGAAAGAGGGUCUGAAAUACACCCCCAGAAGGCGGAUUUAGCAGUAAAGCAGGACAAUCAAGCCCACUUUAAGCUGGUCCUAGGGCA
rnacentral:rRNA from 1 species